rnacentral:rRNA from 1 species
UUAAAACAGUUAUAGUUUAUUUGAUAGUCGAUUUUUACUACAUGGAUAACCGUGGUAAUUCUAUGGCUAAUACAUGCGCAAAUACUGUAUAAUCAUAUUUAUUAUGAUUGUACAGUAGUGUUUAUUAGAUACAGAACCAACAGUGCGCCAUCACUUUCUAGUGGUGGUGUCAAAAGAGAAGGUGAUUCAUAGUAACCGAACGGAUCGCAUCAUAUUAUAAUCAUUUC